rnacentral:rRNA from 1 species
AUACGAAGGGGGCUAGCGUUGUUCGGAAUUACUGGGCGUAAAGCGCACGUAGGCGGAUAUUUAAGUCAGGGGUGAAAUCCCGCAGCUCAACUGCGGAACUGCCUCUGAUACUGGGUAUCUUGAGUAUGGAAGAGGUAAGUGGAAUUGCGAGUGUAGAGGUGAAAUUCGUAGAUAUUCGCAGGAACACCAGUGGCGAAGGCGGCUUACUGGUCCAUUACUGACGCUGAGGUGCGAAAGCGUGGGUAGC